AACGCGAAGAACCUUACCUACUCUUGACAUCCUCGGAAGCUGGUAGAGAUACCGGUGUGCCUUCGGGAACCGAGAGACAGGUGCUGCAUGGCUGUCGUCAGCUCGUGUCGUGAGAUGUUGGGUUAAGUCCCGUAACGAGCGCAACCCCUAUCCUUAGUUGCCAUUGGGUAAAGCCAGGAACUCUAAGGAGACUGCCGGUGAUAAGCCGGAGGAAGGUGGGGACGACGUCAAGUCAUCAUGGCCCUUACGAGUAGGGCUACACACGUGCUACAAUGGGCCGUACAGAGGGAAGCGAAACCGUGAGGUGGAGCGGAUCUCACUAAAGCGGCUCGUAGUCCGGAUUGGAGUCUGCAACUCGACUCCAUGAAGUUGGAAUCGCUAGUAAUCGCAGAUCAGAACGCUGCGGUGAAUACGUUCCCGGGCCUUGUACACACCGGCUAC
rnacentral:rRNA from 1 species